AGCUUGCUAAUUGCAGUUCUAGUGGCGGACGGGUGCGUAACACGUGAGCCACCUGCCCUGAAGUGGGGGAUAGCCCGGGGAAACCCGGAUUAAUACCGCAUGUGAUCUUCGGAUCAAAGACGGCUUCGGCUGUCGCUUCAGGAUGGGCUCGCGGCCUAUCAGCUUGAUGGUGAGGUAACGGCUCACCAUGGCGACGACGGGUAGCUGGUCUGAGAGGACGAUCAGCCACACUGGAACUGAGACACGGUCCAGACACCUACGGGUGGCAGCAGUCGAGAAUCAUUCACAAUGGGGGAAACCCUGACGGUGCAACGCCGCGUGGAGGAUGACGGCCCUCGGGUUGUAAACUCCUGUCAUCUGGGAGUAAGCCUUGUGCGUUAAUAGCGUGCAAGGUUGAUAGUACCAGAAGAGGAAGGGACGGCUAACUUCGUGCCAGCAGCCGCGGUAAUACGAAGGUCCCAAGCGUUGUUCGGAAUCACUGGGCGUAAAGCG
rnacentral:rRNA from 1 species